rnacentral:rRNA from 1 species
UCAUGGCUCAGGACGAACGCUGGCGGCGUGCCUAAUACAUGCAAGUCGAGCGGACAGAAGGGAGCUUGCUCCCGGAUGUUAGCGGCGGACGGGUGAGUAACACGUGGGUAACCUGCCUGUAAGACUGGGAUAACUCCGGGAAACCGGAGCUAAUACCGGAUAGUUCCUUGAACCGCAUGGUUCAAGGAUGAAAGACGGUUUCGGCUGUCACUUACAGAUGGACCCGCGGCGCAUUAGCUAGUUGGUGGGGUAAUGGCUCACCAAGGCGACGAUGCGUAGCCGACCUGAGAGGGUGAUCGGCCACACUGGGACUGAGACACGGCCCAGACUCCUACGGGAGGCAGCAGUAGGGAAUCUUCCGCAAUGGACGAAAGUCUGACGGAGCAACGCCGCGUGAGUGAUGAAGGUUUUCGGAUCGUAAAGCUCUGUUGUUAGGGAAGAACAAGUGCGAGAGUAACUGCUCGCACCUUGACGGUACCUAACCAGAAAGCCACGGCUAACUACGUGCCAGCAGCCGCGGUAAUACGUAGGUGGCAAGCGUUGUCCGGAAUUAUUGGGCGUAAAGGGCUCGCAGGCGGUUUCUUAAGUCUGAUGUGAAAGCCCCCGGCUCAACCGGGGAGGGUCAUUGGAAACUGGGAAACUUGAGUGCAGAAGAGGAGAGUGGAAUUCCACGUGUAGCGGUGAAAUGCGUAGAGAUGUGGAGGAACACCAGUGGCGAAGGCGACUCUCUG